rnacentral:tRNA from 1 species
GCUCGCUUAGCUUAGUUGGUAGAGCGUGGUGCUAAUAACGCCAAGGUCACAGGUUCGAUCCCUGUAGUGAGCA